CAAUAUCUUACAGGUACCUUUGUGGACUUGUGUUUCCAUGAUGAGAGGCUGCAAACAACCUUUGAAAAAAGGGUUUCAGAUGGAGAACAUAAUGCUGCACUGAGCCUGCUGUGAAGAGUUCAUCUGAUUCAAAUGGAAUGACACAGUAACAAGCUGAAUAUCUAGGAAUGGCGGAGACCAGAUGAGGAUACUGAAAGCUGGGACACUGACUACUGCGCUGGUAAACACCAGCCCAGGAUGAAGUUUGGGCUGUCUGAACUGCAAUGGUCAGGGCAAAACUGAGGAUACUCUCAGACAGUACCCGGUAGGGGACCCUGGGUGUACCCUUAGGCCAAAGCCCAGGGAAGGCCCAAGCAUUCAAUUUCAUUAUGCACCAUAGUUUGUUCAUCUAGAAAGUAACAAAAAUAGCAGCAACUUGUUUAUCUGCCUGUGUGGCCAACACAUUUUACUAAGGGUUGUUUGUAAAUUAUUUUGAGAUUCUCAUGAAAAUUGCUGCACCAAAUAGCUUACUUUAACUUGGUUUGUGCAUAUGCUUAUAUAUACAGUUAUACUCACAUACAUGUUCAUUCCCAGGAUCGAUUCACAGUUGCUUCCCGUCAGCUGUCCACAGUUACUGUAUAUGACAAUGCCAUGAAAUCAGGAACUGCAUAUUCUAGAGUUAACACUUUAGCCAUCAAGCAUACUGACUGUAAAAUACAACUAGAAGUAUUGAUUUUGGAGCACAAUCAAAUGUAUUUAAACAAUAUACUCUUAAGCACUAUACUUACAUCUGCAUUUGCAUAUACCACUUAUAUCAAAUAGACCACAUUGGCACGUCUGGAUGUAGUUUCUGUAUCAUCCUUUGCAUUUGUCCAUUAGAUACCACAAGACAAAGAUAUUAUUUAAGACAGUAAAUAUGAUUAUACAGGAUAAAUGACAAGAAUACUGUACUCUGUCAAUUCUGUUUCUAUUCACAGCAGUGAAGCUGCAUUAUAAUCACAACAAACUAAUUUCAUUUUGUUAGACUGCAGUAUGCCUGUAAUAGACAGUAGUACAAAUGAAUUAAAAUAUAUUGAUUAUAAAGAGAAUUAAAUGCAAACUAUUUAAAACACAAUUGAUUAGAUAUAAUGAAACUUUGCAUACACAAUUGCAGAGCUGGCAAACCUAAAUCCAAAGAAAACCAUCCCCCCACUCUGGAAGUGCAGAGGACCUGGCUCCUAACCUUGGAUUUAAACUUGAAGCUUGACAAACAAUAUUUCUCCUGCAAUCCAGACAGGUGGCGGUCCCAUCGCAGCGCAUUCGCCAGCAUUACCACUCUCCUCAUUUAGACUUUACAUCAAGUCUGUGUGAGCCCUGGCUUGAAAUCAGAUUCUUGAUGUCUAUAAGCAAAGACAAAGGCUAAAGCUUAUUUAUUAACACUAGUUAUAAAGAAAGAAAGGCAUUACAUAAAGGACCACUGUUCGUUUGGAUUGCACAAUGUUUUACAGGGACAUGUGAUACACUGGAGGACUAUUUAUAUGUGCGUUUGAAUGUAACUGUGGAUUACCUAAAACAGUUCUUAUCCUCAACAGAUUGACACUGCUAACAAGGUACAGAAAAACAAUUUUACAAUAGCAGAAGGUAACAACACUGUUUUGUUUGUGGGUACACAAAAGGACCGAAGAGUAUAAUUUUACUCUCUUAGACCAAAUGAAGUCCUAAAUUGGAAAAGCAGCUCCAUCCAAGGUCGUCUCUGUUGCUUCCAAAAAUAUCUUGAAACAAACGCAAGAGGGGCACUUUGUUGGAUGUUAUCUCGACAUAUAUAGUUUCAAUCAAAUUCUUCAAGAAGUGU
ensembl:lncRNA